AAGCAAGACAAUGGAGC
rnacentral:sRNA from 1 species